GAAGAGAUAGAAAAAUUCACCUGCUGACACCUUUGCAGAGGUGGGAGGUUCACGGGUAUGGAACAUUACAUCUGAAGGGUUUUUUUUAGUGUAUUGAUUGAUUUUUAUCAAUGAAUCAAUAAGCAUUUAUUAAGUGCCUACUAUGCUAAGUACCAGGAGUCAAAAAGAAGCAAAAGACAGUCCAUGCACUCAAGUAGACUACAAUCUAAUGGGGGAGACAACAUGCAAACAAUAUAUAUUUACAUAUAUGUAAUAUAUCAUAUAUAAUUUAUAUAUAUAAAACAAGCUCUAUAUGAUAUAAACAGGACGUAAUUAACAGAGGGAAAACAUUGAAAUUAAGAGGGGUUGGGAAAGGUUUCUUAUACCAGGUGGAAUUUUAGUAGGGACUUAAAAGAAGUCAGAACAAAGGAGAGAGCAUUUUUGCCACAGGGGGACAGCCAGAAAAAAAUUUCUGGAGGCAAGGGAUGGAGUGUCUUGUUCAUGGAACAGCCAGGAGGACAUUAUCACUGGAUUGAAGAUCACCUGUCUUUGGGCAAAGAAUUUUCUUGGUUAUAAAGGAAUGGCUCUCUGGGGAAAGAACUUCAAGAGAAAAUUUAAGGUCAAUGAGUAUCCAGAGAUAAAAUGAACCAGGUUAUGGACUCAUGAACUUCAAAAGGUCAGAAGAACCAUCAGAAUUCCCCUCAGCAACCAGUCAAUAGCCCAGAGCUGGUCAGAACAUUAGCUAAGUCCAUUAUGGAGUGGUACCUGAGAAGUGAUUUCUUGACUCAUUGCAACAAGAUGCUGACCCAGCACCUGGGACAUUGCAUCCUUUAAGGAGUUAGCCCAGCUGAGAAAGG
rnacentral:lncRNA from 1 species